GAUGAAGAACGCAGUGAAAUGCGAUAAGUAAUGUGAAUUGCAGAAUUCAGUGAAUCAUCGAAUCUUUGAACGCACAUUGCGCCCGCCAGUAUUCUGGCGGGCAUGCCUGUCCGAGCGUCAUUUCAACCCUCGAACCCCUCCGGGGGGUCGGCGUUGGGGAUCGGCCCUGCCUCUGGCGGUGGCCGUCUCCGAAAUACAGUGGCGGUCUCGCCGCAGCCUCUCCUGCGCAGUAGUUUGCACACUCGCAUCGGGAGCGCGGCGCGUCCACAGCCGUUAAACACCCAACUUCUGAAAUGUUGACCUCGGAUCAGGUAGGAAUACCCGCUGAACUUAAGCAUAUCAAUAAGCGGAGGA
rnacentral:misc_RNA from 1 species